AAAACUAUACUUUCAGGGAUCAACCAUUUCUAUAGUAUGUGACUAGAGAAGUUUCUCUGAUUGUAGAGCAACCGAAGCCACUAAGGAGCCAGAGUGUCCUCUCCUGAGCGUGAAGCAGGCUCCAGGUGUUCCUUCUGCGAUUGCCUUUGGCCACUGAUAAUCGUCCUUCUCUUCCUUUGGAAGGGAUAGAGUGAGAGGAUGCAGUCUGAGUGGG